rnacentral:piRNA from 1 species
UACAUUGGUUUGGCCCAAAAAGGUGGGC